GUGGCGUGUUUCAUUGCUCAAGAGUUUACAAGCUUAUUUUAAAAAUGAGUCCCAUUGUCUGGUUUGAUUGUCUCUGGGGUACCAUGUCACCACAAAAUGGGUCUCUCAAGGCCUAAGAUAGUGUUUCGAGCAGUGGCAUGGUUAAUAGGGUAUGUUUCUAGCCAGCCAGUUGUGGCCUCUACAAUGGUGAGUACAGAGCUCUUGCCUUGGCAUGUUCAUGCCAGUGGUCCAAUGUAGUCAAUUUGCCAGGCUUCACCAUACUGGAAGCCCAGCUACCACCCUCAAUUCCAAGGAGAUUUUACUCGCAUGGCUUGCUUGAUUGCAGCAUAUAUUUCACAUUCAUGAAUAACCUAUGUGAUAGCCUCCAUGGUUAGGUCCACCCCUCAAUCACAAGCCCACCUAUAUAUUGCAUCCCUUCCUAGAUAUCCUGAUGUUUUGCAGGCCCAUUGGGCAAUAAAUAGCUCACUCUUUCUCUCCCAGUCUAGAUCCAGCUGAGCUAUUCCAAUUUUGGAAGCCUUAUCUACUCAUUCAUUAUUUUGAUGUUCUUCAGCGGCAUGACUUUUGGGCAUGUGUCUACUUGACAUACUUUCAGAGUCAUGUUUUCUACCCAUGCAGCAAUGUCCUGCCACAAUGCAGCAGCCCAGAUGGGUUUACCCCUUCAUCGUCAAUUGGUCUUCUUCCACUGCUGCAGCUACCCCCAUAGGGUAUGAGGCACCAUCCAGGAGUCAGUAAAGAGAUAGAGUACAGGCCACUUUUCUCGUUCACCGAUCUCAAGGGCUAGUAGGAUGGCUUUCACUUCUGCAAAUUGGCUCGACUCACCUUCCCCUUCAGCAGCAUCAAUGACUCACUGUGUGGGACUCCAGACAGCAGCUUUCUACCUCUGAUGGUUUCCUAACACACAGCAGGAUCCAUCAGCAAAUAGAACAUAGCCUCUUUCAUUUUCUGGUAGCUUGUUAUAUGUGAUGCUUCUUGGGCACAAGUCACCACUCAGGCAAUGCUCAAAAAUCUCUGUCUUCUGGCCAGUCCAUAAUCUCUUCCAGUAUUCCUGGGAAACUGGCUUUUCCCAUUCAGGCUCAUUGUGCAAUCACUGCUACCCACUGACUCCAUGUAGUUCUGGUUGCAUGAUAUAUUAAAGGGAUAUUUCCUUUGAACAUCCAUCAUAGCACAGGCAAUCACAGUGCCAAAAGGAGACAUGUUUCUGUUCCAAAAAUUUCUGAGGUGGCUCAAACCUCCUCAGAGGCUGCUAAUAUCUCUUUUUCAGUUGGAGUACAGUGAGCUUCUGAUCCUCUAUAACCUUGGCUCUAAAACCUUGACCUUGGGUUUCUCCUGAUGUUCGUUGCCAGAGGCUACAGGUGACCUGAUGUUCUUUGCCAGAGGCUCCAGGUGAGACCAUGCUUCCCAGCUGCAGUGUAGAGUACAUUUUGCAUGGCUGGUCCUGUCCAAACAGGCCCAAGAGCUACCACACAAGCUUUUUCCUGUCUGAUCUGCUCAAAGGCCUGUUGAUGCUUGAGGACCCACUUGAAUUGGCUCUUCUUCCAGGUCACUUGAUAGAGGGGGCUAACAAGCUGGCUAUAACCUGAAAAGUGCAUUCUCCAUAACCUCACAACGCCUAGAAAAGCUUGUAUUUCCUCCUUGUUAGCUGGUGGAGAGAUUGUUGCUACAUUGUUAACCACAUCCAGAGGCACACAACAGCGUCCAUCCUGCCAUUUUAUUCCCAAGAACUGGAUCUGCUGUGCAGUUUCCUUUCCUUUACUUUGUUUUAUGGCUAGACCAGCUUUCAGAAGGAUUUGGAUUAUUUUCUUUCCUUUUUCAAAAACUUCUGCUGUACUGCCCCACAAAGUGAUAUCAUCAAGACAUUGCAGGUGUUCUGGAGCUCAGCCCUGCUCCAGUGCAGUCUGGACCAGUCCAUGGAAAAUAACUGGGUUGUGUUUCUACCCCUGGGGCAGUUGAUUCCAGGUAUACUGGCCACCCCUCCAAGUGAAAGCAAACUGUGGUCCGCACUCUGCUGUCAGAGAGAUUGAGAAAAAUGCAUUAGCGAUAUCAACUGUGGCAUACCACUUGGCUGCCUUUGACUCCAGCUCAUAUUGAAGUUCCAAUAUGUCCAGUACGGCAGCACUCAGGUGGUGUAACUUCAUUCAGGCCACAAUAGUCUACCAUCAGCCUCCAUUUCCCAUUAGACUUCAGCACUGGCCAUAUGUUAAAGGGUGACUGUAUACUGCUGAUCGCUCCUUGGCUCUCCAGUAGACAAAUUAGUCCAUGGAUGGGAGUUACAGAGUUUCUGUUGGCGCUAUAUUGCUGCUGGUGCACUGUCCUGAUAGCAAUUGACACUUGCUGGUCUUUAACUUGCAGCAAUCCAACAAUGAAGGGAUCUUAUAGCAGGUCAGGCAUUGUGGAUAACUCUUUGAUCUUCUCUGCAUUCACAGUAGCUACACCAAAAGGCCAUCAAUACCCUUUUGAAUCCUUGAAGUACCCUCUCCUCAGGUAGUCGAUGCCAAGGAUACAAGGGGCCUCUGCGCCAGUCACAAUGGAGUGCUUUUCCCACUUGUCCCCAUCAAUUAAGUAAAUAGGAGGUUUUGUAGUGUUCCUUGCAAGCAGUUGUAAGGCCCUGAUACAAAAAUAAUGCCUCCAAAACUGCUUUGUCAUUCUUGUAAUCUCUUUGAACAUCUUAAUACUAAGAGCAGCUUGCCUUGACGUCCAUAAGAAGGAAGGCAAAACCUGUGCAAAACUGGGGAGGAGGAAGAGAAUGACAGAAACCCGGGCCUUCACCUUCUCCCCCCGCCACUGCUGCCUGCCAAGUUUUUCACAGCUGCGUAAACAACCUAAAGCCUCCAAAAGCUGACAUGCCACCAAGCCUUGGAUGCCUCCAGCCUGGGGAAAAUAGCAACCUACUGUGACAUGCAUGUGACCUGUGGAAACCCUCCUCUGCUCCUGCAUGCUCUGGUGUGAGCAACAAGAGUGGACCUAAGUCAGCUGCAGGGACCACAUGCUGCACCUACAUUUCAGAAGGUGCUGUUGUGUUAGCUGCAGUUGAACACAAAGAGCACGAACAAAAAGCUGAUAUGGAAAUUAUUUCUCCGUUACAAGAUUUGGUUAAAGCGUUGCAACUGCAGCUGAGGAAGAAAAGGCUAACACCUACCUCCUCCAGGAAGACAUAAGAAAUCAGAGGGCCACCACCCAUGUGCUCCGAGAGGAGCUGCAUGCGAGAUUAGCAAACAAAGCAAAAAAAAGGAGUUAGAUCUGGAGCUAUCUAAAGAAACAUAUCCCCUCUCUGACUUAAAAUCUUUGCAUAAUCAAUCAGAGAAGCUGCCAGUCUUGCUUUGUCCCUUAAUUAAAACAGAAUACAUAUAUGAGGGCUCAGAUGAUGACACACCUUACAUAACCAUGAAAGAAAUUCCAUAUAUGGCCAGUGAAUUGGUUAAAUUAAAAAAGGAAUAUACCCAAACCCCUAAAGAAUCUGAGACUGUUUGGAGAGUCUCUCUUACUGGGAGUGACCAAAUUCUGUUAUCAGAAAAAGACACAGAAGGGUUCUGGGGGGCAGAGGAUGACCCUGAUCUCUUACCCAAAGAGCAGCUUUUUGGGCUGGUGGACUCAACCCCCUGGAGAGAGGAGAUCCUCUGGCUAUAGUGAGAAACAUUAAUCAGAUUGUAGAAAGUGUGAAAAAGCUGCUUGUUUACAAAUGAUGCAUGAUAGGGAGUUAACACCACGAUAUGAAUCUCCUAUGAUGACGACUGUAGACCCUGAAAUAAUGAUUAUGUCUCAUCAGAUGCUGCCCUGAAGCUAUGAAAGCCAUAGGCAUCCAGCUAAAAAGACAAAUAGAAAGCCUCAUGAAAGGACAAAAAGCUGUAGCCACCUUAGAGGCAGCUAUUACUCCCAACCAUAACUGAGAAAAAAGAAUAUUUGGACCUGGGGCUAGGUGGCAAAAGAAUUAAUUCAUUAUGGAAGAAAAUAUGGCCCAAUACCUUCAAGUAUAACUGAUUUUAAAUAAAUUCAGCACAUAAAGUGCAAAACAACUGCCUCCAGUAAGACUCCGAAAGAUAAUGUCCUCUCCUGGGCAAGGAGGACAAGCUAACACAGGGGAAGAACACAAGGGAAAAAGAAGUACCCUAUGGAAUGUGGGCUUACAAAAAGGGAUCCCAAAAACCCUAAUGGAUGGCCAACCCACUAAUAAAUUAGAAAUAUUAAUUCAAGAAUGGCCAGCAAAGGACGGAUCAUUAAAAGCUAUCCCUGUGUGGGGAAACAUAAGGUGAAAAAGCUCUUAGGUGUGAGAAAAAAGCAGGUUUCAGAAAUAAAGCAAAAAGAGUUUAGGAAUCAGCUUUAGCUGCAAAAAUUUGAAGAUAAAAGAGGAUACAAUUAUAUAGCAAGCAAGGACAUUAAAACAAUGGUUAGAGUUUCUAGGUUUGGCUGAGAUAGGUUUUGAAGUUGCAAAAAAUAUGCUUAGCAAGAUAGGUAAGUUUAAGCUUAAUAAGGGAAUAUUGUGCAUUGUUAUAUAAAGGCAUAACAAGCAAGUAUUGUAUACAACAGAUGUAUGUGCGCUACUGAGGAUUGGUUAAAACAGUUGUCUGUAAUUUUUAGAAGCUUGCUAAUUGGCUAAGAAGCUUUUAAGAAUGCCCUGUAACCAGGAAGUCUCUGGAUGCCUGUGAUGGCGUGAGCUUUGUACUGUCUCUGUCUCAACUCUGUAUGUGAGACUGAUAACGGAAUAAAGUAAUAAAAAGGCUCCUGGAGCAUC